CUCUCUGUGUCUCUCUGGGCCUCUGUGUCUCUCUGUGGGGCUGUGUCAUUUUCUGUCUCUCUCAGUCUCUCCCAGUCUCUGUUUCUCUGUCUCUUUCUCUCUCCAUUUCCGUCUCUUCUUCUUUGUCUCUCUGUCUCUCCUCUCUGGCUUUCUGUGUGUGUCUCUCUCGGUGUUUCUCUCUGUCUCUCUGAUCCGUUGUUCAGGAGAAGCAAGACGAGAUAUUAGGAGCUGCGCUUGGUGGCCCUCGUGCAAAGAGCUAGCAGAGGGUCCCGGCUCCCAGACGGAAAAGACUCCCAAAUCCAUCCAAGUGGCGUCCUGCCGAUAGUCGGGCAGUGGUGUCCGAGACAGCCCCCGCCCCUCUAGCCUCCGUUGAGCCUGCAGCCUCAGCCUCCCGGGAGACCUGGAGGCAGAGGUUCCUAGCAGAGCUGAGCCUGGAUCCUGGGAGAGAAACGAGGAGGUGGUGCCUGUUUGUUCUCACGAGUACUAAGUCAGGGUCGUGCUCACACCCAGCCUAGACAGCUAGGAGCUCCUUCCAGGCCUGAGUCUGGCCCUGCCCUCCUCCCCUCCAGCCUCCUCUCCUCCCCAGCUCUCUGCAGCCACUCUAGCUCCUUUCUCACCUCCUCUCGGCCAGAUUCCCUUGCGCCUCCGAGUGUCUGGCCCUCGGAGCUUCCCUUGGCACACUGCUCCCGGCUGUGUGCAGGGCUGGCUCCUCGUGUCCUUCUGCUCGUGGCACCAAUGUCCGCUCAGAGGACUUUCGACCCACCUCAGGGCUGCAGGCCCUCCCUCCAGCACCCUGCUUCCUUGCCCUCUAGCACCUGCGCGUCUUUUCCACAUGGGUUUGCUUCCCUCACUUGGUCCCUUCCCCUUGCAGGCGGUGAGGUCCUGGAGGACACGGGCCACGUGAGGGCUUUCAGAACCGCCCCCAGGCUCACACCGCGCCUUCCCAGAGUGAGCGCAGGGCCACAGCAGCUGAAAGAAGGGGAUGACCUCAGAGCCCCCUUCCGCCUCCGAGCACCUCCCAUCGUGGCCAUGGGCGCCAAUCAUGAAAGUUACUCCUCUGAGCACGAGCACGAGUGGCCACCAAGCCCCUGGUGGUCAGGCCCAGCAUUGCAGCAACAGGCGGGAAAGCAGGCCGUGAAAGACACACCUCGGUUCGGGGCCUGGAGGCAGCGGUUCCAGCAGGGCCCAGGGCGCAAAGGAGAAGGCCGUGCAGGCUCCGGGGGUGAUGUGAGGGACCUGCGAAGCCUCUCUUGCUCCCUCUCUCCCUGCACUGGCCCCGGCGUGUGCACUUUCCCCACGAGGCCUCCUCACCGCAGCCAGGGCACUGACUCCACUCCACGUCCAAAUGAGGACCCCGAGGCUCCAACAAGGAUGGCCUCGGUCCUGCUCUGCAGAGGAGGGGUCCUGUGCUCUGCCACGUUCUGCAGUAGCCAGGUGCCCAGCCCACCUACAGCUCAGGCUGCCCUCUGCCCAGAAAGGCCUCGAGGGACUAGAAGGCCCAGUCCAAGGCCUCGGAGCACGGUGGGUCAUGGAUGGACAACUGAGAUCGAUAGACUCUUCUACCAGCUUGUGGGGUCCUUGGAGUCACUCCUCUAGGCUCCUCAAUUGACGGAGGAGUAACCUCAGGCCUUCCAUCCACUAGCCCCUUCCACACUGGGGGCGGGGACAUCCUCCAUCCAGGUGCCCAGAGUGGUGGACACAGGACCCCAGACCUUGUCAGGCAUCUCUCCUCCUCAUGCUGCAGACCUGGGCAUGUUGCUAGGGGACUGGAAAACCCUGGGCCGAGGCAGAGCCACCUCUUUCUUCUUUCCAGCUGUCACCUCCCCAGUGUGCACUCCCCUCCUGACCCCCACCCUGGGCAGGCAGAGUGUGUGUGAGUGUGAGAGUGAGUGUGCGCCCAGGUGCGGAUGCCCAAAGGAAAGGGCCCCCAAUGGGAGGGCGUGGACAGAGGUCCCCCAGGAUCUUAGGGGCUCUCCUUCCCAAGGCCAAUCUCCUGGGACGCUAGAGCUGGCCCAGGGGCCUGGAAGCCUCGCUUCUCCUCCGGACUCUGCCCACCUCGUGGGCCCAGGGCCGGUCCCUGUUUCCCCUGGCCUCAGCUUCCCAACUGUCCCGUGAGGGUUGCGCAGGAACCGCAUCAGCCCUGCUCGGCAUGGACACAGCCCUGGCCUCCUGCCCCCCUGGGUGUGGCGGGGCUCCCAGUCCUCUCUCGCUCGGGGCAGCCGGGCCUCCUGUCCCCGGCCAGGCACACAGAGCAGCCCUGCCGGCAGCACACGUGGGGGUCCCCGCCCCCAGCACGCCUGUGGACCACAAGAGGCUCCUGACACGGCUGCUUUCGAUCAGUGCUUCUGAAAAUAUUGCAUGAUUCCACUGAUAGGAGCCAUCCAGAAAAGAUUGACCAAAACCUGCCAGAACACAGAAUAGGCGUUGUCAGGGAGCCAAGGAGGAAUGAGGCAUGAGCGCUUUGGGAAAAGGCUUCCCUUGUGGAGAAGGGAAUGUCCAGCAAGCGGACAGUGGUGAUGGAGGCCGAGCAUUGGGACUGUGCUUAACGCUCGGGAAUUGUACACUUGAAAAGGAGAAAAUGCGGAGUUCUUAAAAUAUAAAUAAAUUUAUUUUACAAUUUACAUAAAGACCAAAGAAAGACAAGAAAACGAGCAACAUAAACGGCUACACAGACAUAAGGGGGAAGCAGG
rnacentral:lncRNA from 1 species